GAUGAACGCUGGCGGCGUGCCUAAUACAUGCAAGUCGAGCGAACAGACUAGGAGCUUGCUCCUCUGACGUUAGCGGCGGACGGGUGAGUAACACGUGGAUAACCUACCUAUAAGACUGGGAUAACUUCGGGAAACCGGAGCUAAUACCGGAUAAUAUAUUGAACCGCAUGGUUCAAUAGUGAAAGACGGUUUUGCUGUCACUUAUAGAUGGCUCCGCGCCGCAUUAGCUAGUUGGUAAGGUAACGGCUUACCAAGGCGACGAUGCGUAGCCGACCUGAGAGGGGGAUCGGCCACACUGGAAAUAGACAACGGUCAAGACUCCUAAGGGAGGCAGCAGUAGGGAAUCUUCCGCAAUGGGCGAAAGCCUGACGGAGCAAAGCCGCGUGAGUGAGGAAGGUCUUCGGAUCGUAAAACUCUGUUAUUAGGGAAGAACAAAUGUGUAAGUAACUAUGCACGUCUUGACGGUACCUAAUCAGAAAGCCACGGCUAACUACGUG
rnacentral:rRNA from 1 species